rnacentral:lncRNA from 1 species
AAACUCAAAACUGCCUCUAUUUACCAAGCAGAGUGUGGGUCAGGAAGACAUUUGAGAUUUUCUUUCCUCUGCAAUUGUUUGCCUUGUUUUGGAGCCUAAAGCAAUAGAGUAAUUCCAUGACAAAAUUCCGGGUCAGAAAAGCUGACAAAGCAAAAAUUGUGACUGACUGAAAAAUCUUCUAUCAUUUCCUCCAAGCUUAAGAUUUUCAUUUGCAUUGUCUGGAUUUAAUUCACAGUCCCUGCCAUUCAUCUAUUUGAAUUUCUGCAUGCAUUUUUUGCUGGAUUAGUAUUUGUUGUUUUUCUUAUCAUCAGAUUUAUUAAAGGGUAAUUUAUUAAGAGGCACUCUGCACCCUGAGCCCUGCAUGCAUCCAGAAGAAAGCAGUGAUGACCACAGAGCUCAGAAACCUCAGAGCAGGGUCUGGGCUUCAUUACUCUGGAUUCCUGAGAGUGAGGAAGGUUUGUUAAUUUCCUGCAGUCUCAGAUCCCCAGCAAGCCUUUACUGCACUAAAACAGGGCAUGAGCCCUCACUUCCCACCACAGCCCAGAGCUGAGCUUCUCCAUAGACCCACUCAACCCCUUUCAACUUUGAAGAUGGUUUGUGACACAGUCAUGCUCACUCCUCCUCCAAGUUUAUAAGUGAUGUUUCGAGAUAUUACACGAAGCACCAUGUGAGCUGAAGCAAGCUCACAGCUUCCUACCUACCACCAGGAGUCACCAAGUGUGUUAUGAAGGGUGUUUCUUAUUUUAAGGCUGGACAAGGUGAAGAAGCUGGAGCCUUACCCAUCCUUAACUCUAGAUGGAUCCUUCUGGGGUGUUGGAAGUGAAAGAAACCGAGGAAGCCCAAUGUUCUGAGGUUUCCAGCCUUAGCUCCAGACCCUAGCACCAACUCUGGCCUCAUUUGGAGACCUUCUGGAAUGAAGAACUGAGCGUGCAGAAAUGUUUCAAGCCACCCCAACAUCUCCAGAGCAUUCUGCUAGUUCUGGUGCUGCCCUGCUUUGUAAAGCUAUUUUUACAAACCAGGCAGAUCAGGGGCCAUUAGGACUGACUGCUUGUUUUUUGUUUUUGUUUUUUGUUUUUUUCUCAGAAGAUUGACACAAUUUCCAAAAAUGGAACAUAUAACGCAAUUCUUCCGGGCAAGAUUUGCUUGGCAAGUAAUUUGAGAUUAAUCUACUGUUUAUUUCAGAUGUGG